rnacentral:rRNA from 1 species
GAUGGACCUGCGGCGCAUUAGCUAGUUGGUGAGGUAACGGCCCACCAAGGCGAUGAUGCGUAGCCGGCCUGAGAGGGUAAACGGCCACAUUGGGACUGAGACACGGCCCAAACUCCUACGGGAGGCAGCAGUAGGGAAUUUUCGUCAAUGGGGGGAACCCUGAACGAGCAAUGCCGCGUGAGUGAAGAAGGUCUUCGGAUCGUAAAGCUCUGUUGUAAGUGAAGAACGGAUCAUAGAGGAAAUGCUAUGGGAGUGACGGUAGCUUACCAGAAAGCCACGGCUAACUACGUGCCAGCAGCCGCGGUAAUACGUAGGUGGCAAGCGUUAUCCGGAAUCAUUGGGCGUAAAGGGUGCGUAGGUGGCGUACUAAGUCUGUAGUAAAAGGCAAUGGCUCAACCAUUGUAAGCUAUGGAAACUGGUAUGCUGGAGUGCAGAAGAGGGCGAUGGAAUUCCAUGUGUAGCGGUAAAAUGCGUAGAUAUAUGGAGGAACACCAGUGGCGAAGGCGGUCGCCUGGUCUGUAACUGACACUGAGGCACGAAAGCGUGGGGAGCAAAUAGGAUUAGAUACCCUAGUAGUCCACGCCGUAAACGAUGAGUACUAAGUGUUGG